GGCUUAAAAAACAACCAAAAACAAAAAAGAAAUCCGUCGAACCGGAUUCGAACCAGUGACCUAAGGAUACCUGCUGACUCUACAGUCCUCCGCUCUACCAACUGAGCUAUCGACGGCACGGAGG